rnacentral:rRNA from 1 species
CGAUUUACGGCGAUGGACGUACCAGGGAUAUCUAAUCCUGCUUCGCUCUCCACGCUUUCGUACAUUAGCGUCAAUAAUACCUUAGUAAGCUGCCUUCGCAAUCGGUGUUCUACGACAUCUCUAUGCAUUUCACCGCUACAUGUCGUAUUCCGCCUACUUCAAGUAUAUUCAAGAAAACCAGUAUCAAUAGCAGUUCCAUCGUUGAGCGAUGGGCUUUCACUACUGACUUAAUCUUCCGCCUACGUACCCUUUAAACCCAAUAAAUCCGGAUAACGCUUGGACCCUCCGUAUUACCGCGGCUGCUGGCACGGAGUUAGCCGGUCCUUAUUCGUGUAGUACCGUCAGCUCAGUACACGUACUGAGGUUUCUUCCUACAUAAAAGCAGUUUACAACCCAUAGGGCAGUCAUCCUGCACGCGGCAUGGCUGGUUCAGAGUUGCCUCCAUUGACCAAUAUUCCUCACUGCUGCCUCCCGUAGG